rnacentral:tRNA from 1 species
GGGGCAUUAGCUCAGUUGGUAGAGCGCUUGCAUGGCAUGCAAGAGGUCAGCGGUUCGACUCCGCUAUGCUCCACCA